rnacentral:rRNA from 1 species
GCUUACGGCCAUACCAGCCUGGGUACGCCCGAUCUCGUCUGAUGUCGGAAGCUAAGCAGGGUAGGGCCUGGUUAGUACUUGGAUGGGAGACGGCCUGGGAAUACCAGGUGCUGUAAGGA